CGGGAUGACGGCCUUCGGGUUGUAAACCGCUUUUGACUGGGAGCAAGCCCUUCGGGGUGAGUGUACCUUUCGAAUAAGCACCGGCUAACUACGUGCCAGCAGCCGCGGUAAUACGUAGGGUGCAAGCGUUAUCCGGAAUUAUUGGGCGUAAAGGGCUCGUAGGCGGUUCGUCGCGUCCGGUGUGAAAGUCCAUCGCUUAACGGUGGAUCCGCGCCGGGUACGGGCGGGCUUGAGUGCGGUAGGGGAGACUGGAAUUCCCGGUGUAACGGUGGAAUGUGUAGAUAUCGGGAAGAACACCAAUGGCGAAGGCAGGUCUCUGGGCCGUCACUGACGCUGAGGAGCGAAAGCGUGGGGAGCGAACAGGAUUAGAUACCCUGGUAGUCCACGCCGUAAACGGUGGAUGCUGGAUGUGGGGACCAUUCCACGGUCUCCGUGUCGGAGCCAACGCGUUAAGCAUCCCGCCUGGGGAGUACGGCCGCAAGGCUAAAACUCAAAGAAAUUGACGGGGGCCCGCACAAGCGGCGGAGCAUGCGGAUUAAUUCGAUGCAACGCGAAGAACCUUACCUGGGCUUGACAUGUUCCCGACAGCCGUAGAGAUACGGUCUCCCUUCGGGGCGGGUUCACAGGUGGUGCAUGGUCGUCGUCAGCUCGUGUCGUGAGAUGUUGGGUUAAGUCCCGCAACGAGCGCAACCCUCGCCCUGUGUUGCCAGCACGUCGUGGUGGGAACUCACGGGGGACCGCCGGGGUCAACUCGGAGGAAGGUGGGGAUGACGUCAGAUCAUCAUGCCCCUUACGUCCAGGGCUUCACGCAUGCUACAAUGGCCGGUACAACGGGAUGCGAC
rnacentral:rRNA from 1 species